UUGACGGGGACCCGCACAAGCGGUGGAGCAUGUGGUUUAAUUCGAAGCAACGCGAAGAACCUUACCAAAUCUUGACAUCCCGAUGACAAAGCAUGUAAUGUGCUCUCUCUUCGGAGCAUCGGUGACAGGUGGUGCAUGGUUGUCGUCAGCUCGUGUCGUGAGAUGUUGGGUUAGUCCUGCAACGAGCGCACCCUUGUCCUUAGUAGCCAGCAAUUCGGUUGGGCACUCUAGGGAGACUGCCCGGGUGAACCGGGAGGAGGUGUGGAUGACGUAAAUGCCCCUUAUGAUUUGGGCUACACACGUGCUACAAUGGCGUAAACAAAGGGAAGCAAAUAUGUGAGUAUGAGCAAAUCUCAAAAAUAACGUCUCAGUUCGGAUUGUAGUCUGCAACUCGACUACAUGAAGCUGGAAUCGCUAGUAAUCGCGAAUCAGAAUGUCGCGGUGAAUACGUUCCCGGGUCUUGUACACACCGCCCGUCACACCAUGGGAGUUGGGAAUGC
rnacentral:rRNA from 1 species